rnacentral:rRNA from 1 species
GAGCAGCGCAGGACCCGUAACUCUACCCCAAGCCAUCAACACUUAAUAAGUAAAACCCUAUCUAGGCAAAGGGGAGGCAAGUCGUAACAUGGUAAGUGUACCG